AUGAAUGUCACUUACAAACCAACAAGCUGUGAAAAAAAACAAGGAAAGACGUUACCGGAUUGGAAGGAGACGAUGGCGGCACAGCGGAAGGGCUUGCGAGAUCGCUGCAGUUCCGUUGUGAACUGCGGUCAAAUAGAAAAUCGCAACAACGCUGAGGUUGGAGAAAAGAUGGGAUGGUGGGCGAAAAGCUGGUGCGGUGGUUUACAGUUUAACAGUGGUGGAAGAUUGAUGUAUUUGAGGUUUCAUUUUGGGCAUGUUUUGGAUAGCAAGUAUAAGGACAAUGUAGCAGAGGCAGCAUUUGUCUGGGCAGCAAGACAGCAGCAGGGUGGACAGCAACAGGGGCUGAUUUUGUAG